GUCAGGAUGGCCGAGCGGUCUAAGGCGCCAGAUUUAAGUUCUCGAAAGAGAGCGUGGGUUCGAACCCCACUCCUGACA